UCUGGAAGUAGAAUAAGCAUUGCUGGUGUGAUAAUAUUCAUAACUUAGUUAAAAUAUACAAUGCAAUAUAACAUCAAGUAUUUUCAAUUGUAACAAUGAUAAAGGAGUGGUUGAUCAACAUUCUUUAAAAUGAAGCUAAAAGUCAACCCACUGCGAUGGCAUUAUAGCUUGUGCAUCAAGAAUUCACUACAUUACAGAUACCCUCAAGAAUGCAGGACACUGUCUCUAGCUGUGAUUGGGGGCUGCCGUGCUUUAGACUCCCGCCCCCCACAUGAAGGACUUGUCCAUACAUUUAUUUUAAUUCAGCCACUUCCCCUCUUGUCAAAUGAUGACAAACACCAUUAGAAUUUGUGGUAUGGGUUAAUUGAUUGUUGGAUUCUAGUUACGAUUAGUUUAUUGAGGGCUGAACCAGUUACUUUUCCAUUAAGUUUUAUUCUUUCAGGGGCCUUUUAGGGUUAGGUUUAGUUUAUCAGGAGCUUACUUAGUAACUUUUCAGGUUUCUUAGUUUUAUCGGGUCGUUUUAAAGGAAGACCCCCAAAAGUAUUCUGAAUUAUUACUGGGAUACCUGUGGUAGCCCAGUUAUAAAUUGCAACUGUUUUUUUUCCCGUGGUCCCGGAAAAUCUGCAAUAUUUCGCAAUACCCCAAGAGCCUUUGCGUCAUAGUCAAUACUUCGCUUGUUCACUUCAAGACAGGAGAUGCGCCAUGUUGGAUUUGAGAUUUCAUCCGAGCAUUAGCUUAUAUUUGUGCAGGUAAAAAAGGCAACUUUGGCAAUUAUAUUAUUGCAAAUGCAAUCAAAGCUUUUCUAUCUAUAAUGCUAUUGUCCAAAUUCAUGUCAAUUUGAAUUUUUACUGCAUAUUUCCUUCGUCGAUUCAUGAUACGAUUAGUUGCAGACCCGACCCGUAGGGCCGUAGAGAAAGAAACAAGUGUUCGGGAGCUUUCUUCAAGGCCAAAAUUUGAGCAAAUACACCCAAGGAAUGUUUGGCCAUAGCCCCCCUUGUUACAUCCAUGGUAUUCUAGAAGUUAACCAGAUAGGCGUAGUCUUUCCUGAAGGAGUAAUUCAAACAGCACCAGAAAUAUAGGGCCAGCUCAUUGUCUCACAAGAGUAGCUGUUGGAAAACAACUUGGUGGACUAAAUAUAUCUUUUGACUUUCCA